UACGUAGGGGGCAAGCGUUGUCCGGAAUCAUUGGGCGUAAAGAGCGUGUAGGCGGCCCGGUAAGUCCGCUGUGAAAGUCCAGGGCUCAACCCUGGGAUGCCGGUGGAUACUGUCGGGCUCGAGUCCGGAAGAGGCGAGUGGAAUUCCUGGUGUAGCGGUGAAAUGCGCAGAUAUCAGGAGGAACACCAAUGGCGAAGGCAGCUCGCUGGGACGUGACUGACGCUGAGACGCGAAAGCGUGGGGAGCAAACAGG
rnacentral:rRNA from 1 species